AUGGUGAUAGCGUGUAGUCGAUGGGAAUCUGCCAUCAGGAAUCACAUUCUGGCUUAUUCCGGCCGUUCUCACUGUUUAAUACGUCUGCAAAACACUCUUGUACAGCAGAGAACAGUUCAGAUCUCGAGGCUGCAUACCCACUUUUCAGUGGCCAAGAUAAGAAAGUUUGAUAUAGAGGAAGGGUGGGUAUGGUAUUGCCCUCUUUUGUGUGGUGAACAACACCUUGUUGAGCAUAGUGCCAACAACAGCUUGCAACGCUUGAUAUGUCUGUUGGUGGUUCCUGUAUGGGGAAUGCAAACUUGCAGAGUGUUUAUUAAUCCACCAGUCGGAGCAGCACCCUCGUGCGACUUGAGGCAGCGCUGGAUCUGGAGCACCCUCCAGCCUCAAUGCUGCUGCUGUUGCGCCCUCGCCACCGUGCUGCUGCUGCCUGCGCCCUUGCCACGGCGCUGUUGCUGCUGUUGUGCCCCCGCCGCCGUUGCUGCUGCUACAUCCCCCACUGUAGCGCUGGCCGCUGCUGCUGUUGCUGCUGCAGCAGCAAGAGGAGCAGGCUGGGAGGAGGGCGGUGGCCAGAGCUGCUGCGGGGAGUUGAGAGAUCCAUCACUGGGAGGAGAGGCGAUGGCAAGAGAGUGGCGGGUUGAUGGUAAACUCAUGGCACGAUCAUCUGGUUUUCUAAUUGAUUGGGAUGAGGGGAGUAAAGAGGGCACUGUUUUGACAUCUGCGCGCAUAAUCUGCUCAAAAUACACGGCCCUAACCCAGUGGUCAGGUACAGAUGAGUAUGUACCUGAUGCUUACAUUAUUGCUCAUUUGUUGGAUGAAGAUGAGACAACCGUACCUGCAAUCUUGUUUCGCUAUGACAAGCACAUCAAUAUUGCCAUGUUGAAGGUUAAUUUAGACUUGUGUGCUAAGAUUCCUAGGUUUAGUAGUGACAUAAACUACGGUCAGGAGAUACUUGUGCUCGGUAGAGAUGAACGUUUAAACCUGACAGUUGCUCACGGAUGUGUUAAUUUCAUGGGCCCAACUACAUACGAACGUCAUCAUUAUCUAUUCACUGGUUGUGAGCCUAGCAUUGGAGGAAUGGUUAUUGAUUUUGAUGGACACGUUUUGGGGAUGGCUAAUUUUCCCGGGACAGCAUAUAUUCCUUCCUCUAUUGUAUUGAAGUGCUUGGAUAUGUGGAAAAAAAUUCAUUUUAGUUUUUGUAAUUUGAUAAAUGACAAUGUUGCAAGGUGUAUCCCUCGCCUGCAUAUUGGGAUGAAGCUUUCACCCAUUAAAUUUCUCGAUCCAAUUCAUGUGGAGAGGAUCUUCCGAAAGUGUAAUGUCGAUUCAGGUUUGAUAGUUAAAGAGGUGUCCCAUGGAUCGAUUGCUGAAGAACUAGGAGUUAGACCUGGUGAUGUCAAUGAUUCCGUCAAUGGAGAGUGCGUUGCUACCACAGUUGAGUUAGAGAACUUAAUUAUGAGAAUAUGUGAGAAUCAUCUUGACCAAGGAGGAGCCAUCGGUUCCUGCAUGGACAUUCUGGUUGGUAUCUUGCACAUGCGGAAAGGUCGCAAAGGUCCAAGGCACACUUUAAGUCUGAGAUUAAAAGUAUCAGAUGACGUAGAGGUGUUCAUAAGUGGUAUGCAUCCUUGGUUUGCUGUGGUUGUGGGCACCAUCAUCGGCGGGCCUGACCACCAUGACCAGUUCAGGAUAGGCGUGCAUGCAGACGCCGAGUCCGGUCUCCGGGGACACUAA
rnacentral:rRNA from 1 species